rnacentral:rRNA from 1 species
AGAGUUUGAUCCUGGCUCAGAAUCAACGCUGGCGGCGCGCCUAACACAUGCAAGUCGAACGAGAAAGUGGAGCAAUCCAUGAGUACAGUGGCGUACGGGUGAGUAACACGUGGGUAAUCUACCUUUUAGUGAGGAAUAACCAAGGGAAACUUUGGCUAAUACCGCAUAAGCCUGAGAAGGGAAAGUCGAAAGACGCUGAAAGAGGAGCCCGCGGCCGAUUAGCUAGUUGGUGGGGUAAGAGCCUACCAAGGCAGAGAUCGGUAGCCGGCCUGAGAGGGCACACGGCCACACUGGCACUGAAACACGGGCCUGACUCCUACGGGAGGCAGCAGUGGGGAAUCUUGCACAAUGGGGGAAACCCUGAUGCAGCGACGCCGCGUGAGCGAUGAAGCCCUUCGGGGUGUAAAGCUCUUUCGUCAGGGAAGAUAGUGACGGUACCUGGAGAAGCAGCUGCGGCUAACUACGUGCCAGCAGCCGCGGUAAUACGUAGGCAGCAAGCGUUGUUCGGAGUUACUGGGCGUAAAGGGUGUGUAGGCGGUUCUUUAAGUUUGGUGUGAAAUCUCCCGGCUUAACCGGGAGGGUGCGCCGAAUACUGAGGGACUAGAGUACGGGAGAGGAAAGUGGAAUUCCUGGUGUAGCGGUGAAAUGCGUAGAUAUCAGGAGGAACACCGGUGGUGUAGACGGCUUUCUGGACCGUAACUGACGCUGAGACACGAAAGCGUGGGUAGCAAACAGGAUUAGAUACCCUGGUAGUCCACGCCCUAAACGAUGCUUAUUUUGGUGUGGGCAGUUCAAUCUGUCCGGGCCGGAGCUAACGCGUUAAUUAUGCCGCUUGUGGAGCUCAGUC